CAAAUAUCAAUAAUGGUGUCAACCCCAGCAGUCUUCAGUUGGUCAAUACUGAAUAUAUUAAAGGUUUUGGACUGUUUGCAAGACUAAACAGGACAUUUUUUACCUAAAUUCUGAUAUUUUUCACCAUUUUCUGACAGUUUUAAUCAAACAAAAUAACUGGCAGAUGGAUCAAUAAUGAAAAUACUCCUCACUUGCAGUCCUAGAUGUAUGCAAAGUCCAACUUAUAAACCAAUUUCCAUUCUUGUAUUCAUCUAUAUUGAUAUACCAUGUGCACUGUCAGCCAUGUAAGGUUUCAUUAAAGACAGAUGAGACACAUAUAUGAUUUAAAACUCUAAUAAUGGACUAAUUACAUGGCAAAAAGUCACAGAUGAGUGUCACUCCUGAUGACACUGGGUCAUAAUAAGCUGCAUUGACUGACUGGCAAAGCAUCAGUCUGCUCGGCUUUCCUGCCACGAGUUUCCCCUUCACAGCUCUGACAGUCGGAAAAACGUGGAAAAACUCGGGUGAAAGUCGCAUUUUUGUGACUGAGAAGCUCCAACCAGGGCUUGUUUAAGAAACGGAUCACCUCUCUAUUGCUGUUAUUGAAAAGUAGUUGUAAAGAGAGUGUCUCUUCAUCCUCCACGUUUUCUCCGGGACCACAGAAGAAUGAGCGGCUCCUCCGUCCCCCUCAGCCAGACAGACUGCUGCUGGGAUGGGAGUGACUGGAUCCGUCAGCUCCCUCCCCCCAUCCACCAAUCACUGCUGCUCUGCAACUGGACUCAUGUGGAUUCAUUACUUAUUUAAUCACACGUAUUAUCAUAUAUUGUAUAUUAUUUUAUAUGCAUAUUUAGGACGAUAUUUUCUACUUUUA